UGUUGUUCCCGGUCGGAGGUGUGGAGACUCCACUGGUUUUGUUUGUUUUAUUUGUUUGUUUUAUUUUUCCCUUACAGUCCAGUAUCGGAAGUGAAGGCAUUACCGGAGUUACCUGAGUUCAAAGGAUUGGAUAAAGUUACUGUCGUUCAGUGUCUUGGGAAUAAUCCAUCCUUUUUUUGAAUUCAUUUGGGAAUUGUGGCAUGCACUUUUGAGUUAAACCCCUGCAAGGUGGGGAAGGUUUGUGCAGUGACCACCCUCCAAUCAAAAGGAGCACAUCAGUACAACUGCUCUGGGCCCUGCUGGAAAUGCAUGGGAGGUUUUUAAAGAAAAAUAUUCAUAGAACACUUCAAGAUGAGGUCAUUACCAUCAGAAAUCCACAAGGCUUUGCUGAAAUAAUUGCAAUUGACUACAGGCACUUAACUGUGAAAUGGAAUUUAAAUGAAGGCACGCAGUGUAAUGAAGAUUAACGCGAUCAUGGACCAAGUUCAUUGUUUUAAGAAAAAACAUUGACAGAGAGAAAUCAAUUGUCUCCUUAAAGCAAACUCUGUAAUCUGUAAACUCUGUAAACUGUGUAAUCUGUACUUUGAUUGAGGAAACAAAUAUUUGAAGAUCAAACUCUCAGAUAUGGCAAGGUCACAUCAAGCCCCUGUGAUAUCUGUCCUCCUUUAUGUGUCUGAGACAUGGAUUACCUUCAGCUGGUAUCUCAAAGCACUAAAAAGAUUCUCCCAAUACUCCUUCAUGAAGGUCUCCAAAUUCCACUGAAAUGCAAGCAAACCUGGAUCAGGCCAUUGUCCUCACUAUCAAUGCCCUACUUUCACUCAGUAAACAAUGUUGGAUAAGCACAGACCCUUAAAAGAGCCACUUUAGGUGGAGUCUGUCAUGGGAAGGCAGGCAAAGGAAAAGCUUACAACUCCUGCAAGCCAUGAAAUUUGCAUUCAUCUAAUUAUGGCUUCUUGCUCAACUCUGAGCUUAAUUACUUGAUCGAAUGAUCCUGUCAUGUGUUGCCCAAGCUCCACUCUCUGGAAUCAUUUCACAAUUCUUUCCAGUUCUCUACCACUCCUUUCUUUAAAACUUGUUUCCUUAGGUAAGUUAUUGGUCAUUUGUUCUAAUGGCUCUCUACUGGGCUCAAUAUCAAUGUUCAGAUCAACAGUGCUCCUGACGGAAGCUUACGAAUUUUUAGCUUUUUAACAGGAAAAGUUGAUGAUUUCCCUUUCAAAAUGCUAGGGGAGCUCAGCAAGUCAUGCAGCAUAUUUGGGCUGAGACCCUUCAUCAGGAACCUUAAAAAUGGACCAUGAUGAAGGGUCUUGGCUCAGAAUGUCAACUGUUUAUUCCUCCCCUUGUAUGCUGCCUAACUCGCUGAGUUCCUCCUGCAUGUUGUGUGCAUUGCUCUGGAUUUCCAGCAUCUGUAGAAUCUCUUGUGUUUACAUUGUCUUCUCAAAAUUCAUUUGGGUAUUUUGUAAUGACCCCCAGCUUGAAUAUGACAAUUGAGCCAAAAUAACCUAUUAGAAGCAUUCCUAUAUCAUUAAUAAAACAUUAAAAAUUGUCUACUGUGAUAGAUAAUAAAAAAACAUUUCAAACAUUUCAAUUUGCAUUUUGCAUAAAAUAUGUUUGUAUUAUAUACAAUUAAUCAGAUAUUGACAUUCAUUUAACACAAAAUUAGAUGCUCAAAUUUAAAAAAAAUACAUUUUAUUGUAACAGCUUGUUCAUUUUAUUUUGUGCUUUCCACAUGCUCAGUGAAGAAGGUAACAGAUGGAAUGUUGCAUUUAGAAUAAAUUAAUCUUUCAUUGCA